rnacentral:rRNA from 1 species
GAUGAACGCUGGCGGCGUGCCUAAUACAUGCAAGUCGAGCGAACAGAUAAGGAGCUUGCUCCUUUGAAGUUAGCGGCGGACGGGUGAGUAACACGUGGGUAACCUACCUAUAAGACUGGGAUAACUUCGGGAAACCGGAGCUAAUGCCGGAUAACAUUUAGAACCGCAUGGUUCUAAAGUGAAAGAUGGUUUUGCUAUCACUUAUAGAUGGACCCGCGCCGUAUUAGCUAGUUGGUAAGGUAACGGCUUACCAAGGCGACGAUACGUAGCCGACCUGAGAGGGUGAUCGGCCACACUGGAACUGAGACACGGUCCAGACUCCUACGGGAGGCAGCAGUAGGGAAUCUUCCGCAAUGGGCGAAAGCCUGACGGAGCAACGCCGCGUGAGUGAUGAAGGGUUUCGGCUCGUAAAACUCUGUUAUUAGGGAAGAACAAAUGUGUAAGUAACUGUGCACAUCUUGACGGUACCUAAUCAGAAAGCCACGGCUAACUACGUG